rnacentral:rRNA from 1 species
UACGAAGGGGGCUAGCGUUGUUCGGAAUUACUGGGCGUAAAGGGCGCGUAGGCGGUCUUGCAAGUCAGGGGUGAAAUCCCGGAGCUUAACUCCGGAAUUGCUUUUGAUACUGUGAGGCUAGAGUGAGUUAGAGGAUGGCGGAAUUCCUAGUGUAGUGGUGAAAUACGUAGAUAUUAGGAAGAACACCGGUGGCGAAGGCGGCCAUCUGGGACUCAACUGACGCUGAGGCGCGAAAGCGUGGGGAGCAAACAGG